UGUCUGCGGCUUCCUCAUGCAACGUGGCC
rnacentral:piRNA from 1 species